rnacentral:misc_RNA from 1 species
GUGAGUCAUCGAAUCUUUGAACGCAUCUUGCACCCUUGGGUAUUCCCUUGGGUAUGUCUGUCUGAGUGUCAUUUGAACUCUCAAAGCCCCCUCCCUUCCUUUGACCGGGUUGGAGUGCUUUGGAUCGUGGGCGCUUGCGAGCCUGGCUCGCUCGUCUGAAAUCAAAUGUGGUGGUUUUCUCUAAAGCCUGUGUCGGGUUUGACCUGGAGUGAUAGAAGUCUUUCGAGAUCUCUGGGGACUGCCUUUUGGCGACCUGCCGAGGUGGGAGAGAUUGCCUACUAGGACUCAUCUGACGUUUUUGACCUCAGAUCAGGCAGGACUACCCGCUGAACUUAAGCAUAUCAAUAAGCGGAGGA